AUCUAUGGCCAUGUCACACUGAGCACACCUGAUCUCAUCUGACCUCGGAAGCUAAGCAGGGUUAGGCCUGGUUAGUAUUUGGAUGGGAGACCACCUAGGAAGACCGGGUGCUGUAGGCU
rnacentral:rRNA from 1 species